AAAGGCAUGGUCCCGACCUUUUGAUCAGCU
rnacentral:sRNA from 1 species